CAGGAGGAGGGGGAGGGGCGGAGCGUGGCAGCUGGCAGUAGUUCCGUCAGAGCGGACAUCUUGUGGCUGUGUCGUGCGCGUGAGCCCCGUAGGGCCGGGGAGGCACCAGCUGCCGCGCGGGGAGGAGGCCGAGGCCGCAGCUUGAGGGAGGCCCCGGCCCCUCUGCGCCUGUGUCUGGCAGAGCUGGUGUGAGACGAGACAAUCCUGCCCCGCCGCCGGGAUAAUCAAGAGUUUUGGCCGGACCUUUGAGCAUACACCGAGAGAGUGAGGAGCCAGACGACAAGCACACACUAUGGCGCUGAAACGGAUUAAUAAGGAACUUAGUGAUUUGGCCCGUGACCCUCCAGCACAAUGUUCUGCAGGUCCAGUUGGGGAUGAUAUGUUUCAUUGGCAAGCCACAAUUAUGGGACCUAUAAGCAACUAUAUGCUGGAUAAUUGAAUAUUCAGAAUUAUGGAUACCAUCUAAGAAUUUCAGAGAAUUAGAGCGCACUAAAACAUCCUGGGAAUGACAGCCCAUAUCAAGGCGGUGUAUUCUUUUUGACAAUUCAUUUUCCUACAGACUACCCCUUCAAACCACCUAAGGUUGCAUUUACAACAAGAAUUUAU
rnacentral:lncRNA from 1 species